rnacentral:rRNA from 2 species
AAUUCCCGAUGGCGAAGGCAGCCAUCUGGCCUAAUACUGACGCUGAGGUACGAAAGCAUGGGGAGCAAACAGGAUUAGAUACCCUGGUAGUCCAUGCCGUAAACGAUGUCUACUAGCCGUUGGGGCCUUUGAGGCUUUAGUGGCGCAGCUAACGCGAUAAGUAGACCGCCUGGGGAGUACGGUCGCAAGACUAAAACUCAAAUGAAUUGACGGGGGCCCGCACAAGCGGUGGAGCAUGUGGUUUAAUUCGAUGCAACGCGAAGAACCUUACCUGGUCUUGACAUAGUAAGAACUUUCCAGAGAUGGAUUGGUGCCUUCGGGAACUUACAUACAGGUGCUGCAUGGCUGUCGUCAGCUCGUGUCGUGAGAUGUUGGGUUAAGUCCCGCAACGAGCGCAACCCUUUUCCUUAUUUGCCAGCACUUCGGGUGGGAACUUUAAGGAUACUGCCAGUGACAAACUGGAGGAAGGCGGGGACGACGUCAAGUCAUCAUGGCCCUUACGACCAGGGCUACACACGUGCUACAAUGGUCGGUACAAAGGGUUGCUACCUAGCGAUAGGAUGCUAAUCUCAAAAAGCCGAUCGUAGUCCGGAUUGGAGUCUGCA